rnacentral:sRNA from 3 species
AUGCACCACUCGUACACCCCGGUUCUGAGCGCGCCGUCCGCACCCCACUGACGAACGCUCGCUACGUUUUGUUAGCC